rnacentral:rRNA from 1 species
UACCCGCAGCACAAGUGGUGGUCAUUAUUAUUGGGCCUAAAGCGUCCGUAGCUGGUUUGUUAAAUGCCUGGGUAAAUCGAUGCGCUUAACGUAUCGAACUCCGGGUAGACUGGCAAACUCGAGACCGGGAGAGGUGUAGGCUACUCGCGGGGUAGGGGUAAAAUCCGGGAAUCCUGCGGGGAGGACCAGUGGCGAAGGCGCUACACUAGAACGGCUCUGACAGUGAGGGACGAAGCCCUGGGGCGCAAACCGG